rnacentral:lncRNA from 1 species
CCCAUUAUUGUUUUGGACAUUUUGGUUCCCACGUUUUGCCAUGGGAAUGGGCAACUCUUCACAAAAAUGCCUAAUUAAAUGCUUUCCAUGUCCCUUCUCCAUUGCUCUAAAAUAUUUUUCUUAACUGAUUAAUCUCUCAACACCUCUUUUCUACAUGCAUUAACCCAUUGUAUGUUGUAUGUGUCUAGCUUGGGCAUUUCUGUUUCCAGCAAAUCAUUCCUAUAAUAAGUAAGGCACAUUAAUUCCCACAAUAAAUGAUAUUUUCAUUUAUUUUUUAAAUUAAUUUAAUUUUGAAAUCAUUUCUGUUAAGUAUAUUUUUCCUUUUACAUUAUUACAAACUAUUUUUAUAGUUUGUAGGUUUCUAAUAUAUAUAUUUACAAAUUUAAAUUCACAUAAAAUAAAAAUCAUUUUAAUAUCAAUUAUCAAGAUUUUAAAAUUAAACGUAUAUUUAAUUAAUUAAUAUAUACAACUAAUCCGGAUAUACCAACAAAUAGGUAUGGAGUAAAACUUAGGCAUUAUCAAGUAGGCCAUAUGAUUCAUAUAAAAAAGAAGAUGAUAUUAUUUGAUAAAAUAUCUCUAGUAUUUUGAACAUCAACGUCGAAGACUGUUAAGCAGUCCAAUAUUCAAAGGGAUAUGGGUUAGAUUUCCCUUAGAAACUUAAUUCAAGUGGCAAGUAUGAUUAGCGUUAAAUUAAUUAUAAUAGGAAUGUAGACCGAAAUAAAUUCGAUGUACAUAUAUUAUUUUCCAAGCAGAAGCUGGGAAAGUUAACUAAUUUUGAACAAGGAUGUAAGAAAUAUUAAUUAUUAGGCCAAUCCUAUCUAAGGUUUUGAUUUGAGCAGCAAAGCUGACUUGACUUAUCACAAAACAAGCUGCUCAGCUGUUUCUCUGUUUAUAUCACUGUCUUUGUCCACGCCGCCGACAUCAACUUAAAAGCUGAAAAUAUUUUGGCCUAAGUCACAAAUUACUACCUAAAUUAUAUUUAAAUAUUUUCAUUACUUAAAACACCCAACCAAUCAAAAUGUAAGUUCGAAAAAAAUCCACGUCUAAGUGUUUUGACUAUCAAAUAAAAUUUCCAAUGGAAAACUCUAUAAAUCUCGAUGGUAUUUCUUCUCUGUCCGAAAUUGAAGAUGGUGGUGGAUUGCGGGCAGAUGUUGAUCUCAAUAUAAAGAAAGUUCGAUUCAAAGGUGGUAAUAAUGAGGAAAGCACUGAUAUGUUGGUUGAAUCUAGAUCUGGCCCUACGAUCACAUAGAAUGCCAAACUGUUGGGGGUUAGUUUUGGAGAUCAGGAUAAGAAAGGGCUGGUCCUUUCUGGUAUUAGUGCUGUUGAAGACCUUGAAAUUUUGGAAGGAGACAUACAUAGAUCUAUGAUUAAUGGAAUCCUUGCCAUUGAUUUUUCUGAAAAGAUUCAACAAAUUUUAUACAAAGAAAUGGAGUGAACAGUUGUUAUAAAACUGCUUGGAAGAAAUAUUGGAUAUGGGGCAUUACACAGCUGUAUCAGUAGUCUAUGGAAUCCUUCCAUGCCCUUCCAUAUCAUGGACAUAUAGAAUGGAUACUUUUAGGCUAAGUUUCAAUCCCUAAAUGAUUAUGCUAAGGUUCUGUUGCAGGGGCCUUGGCUGAUCUACGGACAAUAUUUGACUGUCCAACCUUGGACAAAGGAAUUUACACCAUCUCAACCAUAUCCAAGCAUGGUGCUGGCUUGGAUAAGACUACCCGGCCUUCCAGGGUUUCUGUACAAAAAGAGGAUACUUGAAGAAAUAGGGGGGAUAAUCGGCAAAGUAGUCCUAUUGGACUUUAAUACAGACAGUAGAACUAAAGGUAGAUUUGCCUGGAUAGCCGUUUAUAUUAAUCUAGAUAACCCCCUAAUUGCACAAGUUCUUGUGAAUGGUUUACAUCAGAAGGUUGAAUACGAAGCAUUACCCAUGAUUUAUUUUACCUGUGGGAAGUACGACCACACCAAAGAACUGUGUGUCCCGUUGCAACCGGAAACAUCAUCGGGAAAGGAGCAGACAGGUGUUACUCCGGUAAAGGAUAUGAACGAAGGAGAAGGUGCCAUUUAUGGGCCAUGGAUGGUUGUUGAGAAAAAAAGCAGGUGUGAUUCUAGGAACAGUAACCUCAGCAAAGCGGAUCUUCGGGAACGAGGAAAAUUAGGAUCCCGAUUUGAUGCCCUAGUAAAUAUGGAAACUUUGAAACUGGAUGAAGCAAGAAAUAAGGAAAUAGAGGGACAAACGAUAGAUUUUAGGGAUACCCUAAAAGCUGGAAAAUUUAUUGAGUAUUUGAUGAACAAUAUCGAGGAAAACCUAUUUCUAGAAAAGGAGGCAGAUGGGGGGA